rnacentral:rRNA from 1 species
UUUAAUUCAUACAUCUUAUUUAAUUUCUGUUGUUGAUUUAUUUAUUUUUAUUUGAUGUUAAGAUUAAGGGGGAUUAGCUCCUUGUUCUAGCUUUAUAAUUGUCUGAGUUUAAUUUAGUUUUGUGGAUUUUAUGGUGAUUUUCUAUUUGAUUAUGUUAAAAUUUUAUUUGUUCUUUUUUUAAUUUUUUGUUAUUUAAGUUAUUUAUUGAAAUGUUUUCUUUACUUUGGUUUGUAUAGUAAUUAUUGUGUAAUUAGUAAAUUUUAUUGGUUGUUUUGUGAGAGAUGGUAGGUGUUAAUUGCUUUUGAGGAAUUCGGCAAAGUUCUAUGUCCGCCUGUUUAACAAAAACAUCUUUUCUUGUUAGUUUUUGAAGUAUGGCCUGCCCACUGACUUAGAGUUGAAGGGCCGCGGUAUUUUGACCGUGCAAAGGUAGCAUAAUCAUUAGUUCUUUAAUUGUGAUCUGGUAUGAAUGGCUUGACGAGACAUAAGCUGUCUUGGAGGUAUUGGUUUAUUGAAUUUGGUUUUUGAGUUAAAAUUCUUAAAUGUUUUUAUGGGACGAGAAGACCCUAUAGAGUUUGACAAUUUUCCUAUUUAUUCGUUGUUUGUAUUUAUUUACAUUGAGUGGGAGUGAAUUGUUUUGUUGGGGUGAUGGGAGGAAUAUUAUUUAACUCCUCUUUGUUUUUAUAUAUUUAU